rnacentral:rRNA from 1 species
UACGGGGGGAGCAAACGUUGUUCGGAAUCACUGGGCGUAAAGGGCGUGUAGGCGGCUGGAUAAGUGGGAUGUUAAAUCCCCCGGCUCAACCGGGGACCUGCAUCUCAUACUGUUCAGCUCGAGCACAUCAGAGGAGACUGGAAUUCCCGGUGUAGCGGUGAAAUGUGUAGAGAUCGGGAGGAACACCGGUGGCGAAGGCGGCCUUCUGGACGGUGACUGACGCUGAGGCGCGAAAGCGUGGGGAGCAAACGGG